rnacentral:rRNA from 1 species
UACGUAGGGUGCAAGCGUUAAUCGGAAUUACUGGGCGUAAAGCGUGCGCAGGCGGCUUUGCAAGACAGAUGUGAAAUCCCCGGGCUCAACCUGGGAACUGCAUUUGUGACUGCAAGGCUAGAGUGUGGCAGAGGGGGGUGGAAUUCCACGUGUAGCAGUGAAAUGCGUAGAUAUGUGGAGGAACACCGAUGGCGAAGGCAGCCCCCUGGGCUAACACUGACGCUCAUGCACGAAAGCGUGGGGAGCAAACAGG